rnacentral:rRNA from 1 species
CAGUCGCCGCGGUAAUACGUAGGGUGCAAGCGUUAAUCGGAAUUACUGGGCGUAAAGCGUGCGCAGGCGGCGAUGCAAGACAGAUGUGAAAUCCCCGGGCUCAACCUGGGAACUGCAUUUGUGACUGCAUUGCUGGAGUACGGCAGAGGGGGAUGGAAUUCCGCGUGUAGCAGUGAAAUGCGUAGAUAUGCGGAGGAACACCGAUGGCGAAGGCAAUCCCCUGGGCCUGUACUGACGCUCAUGCACGAAAGCGUGGGGAGCAAACAGGAUUAGAUACCCCCGUAGUCCCUGUCUCUUAUAC